rnacentral:rRNA from 1 species
CGGGGUGGAGCAAUGUCUGGGAAACUGCCUGAUGGAGGGGGGUAACUACUGGAAACGGUAGCUAAUACCGCAUAACGUCGCAAGACCAAAGAGGGGGACCUUCGGGCCUCUUGCCAUCGGAUGUGCCCAGAUGGGAUUAGCUAGUAGGUGGGGUAACGGCUCACCUAGGCGACGAUCCCUAGCUGGUCUGAGAGGAUGACCAGCCACACUGGAACUGAGACACGGUCCAG